AUUGAACGCUGGCGGCAGGCCUAACACAUGCAAGUCGAGCGAGCGGCGGACGGGUGAGUCAUGUAUGGGAAUCUGCCAGAUGGCGGGGGAUAACUACUGGAAACGGUGGCUAAUACCGCAUACUAUACGAUGACCCCAUAUGGGAUUAUCUAUGAGGUGGGGUAAAGGCUCACCUAGGCGCCGAUCUCUAGCUGGUCUGAGAGGAUGAUCAGCCACACUGGGACUGAGACACGGUCCAGACUCCUACGGGAGGCAGCAGUGGGGAAUAUUGCACAAUGGGCGCAAGCCUGAUGCAGCAAGGCCGCGUGUAUGAAGAAGGCCUUCGGGUUGUAAAGUACUUUCAGCGGGGAGGCGUUACCCGCAGAAGAAGCAACGGCUAACUCCGUGCCAGCCGCCGCGGUAAUAC
rnacentral:rRNA from 1 species